AUAGCCUAAAAACCAGAUGGUCAUACGUCUCCAAAAUAUAGUUUAACAACAAGAGAGAUUUCUGACAGAGUGUGGAAAGUGCUGCCUAAAACCUUUGGCCUAGAUCCGUAGGCCAAAGUUACAGAAGGUUACAGAAUUGCAGAAGGUGGUGGAGGCAAGAGUGGGGAGGUUCUUGAUAUUAUCAGCAAGAAAGUCAAGUAAAUUCUAUUUAUUCAAGUCAAGCUCUUUCCCCUCAUCCCAGCCAUAUCAGACGAGAAAGAACAAACUUAGG
rnacentral:lncRNA from 1 species